rnacentral:lncRNA from 1 species
UUCACAACAUCACAAGUGCAUAUCCAAACACCAUACACUAAUAUCACCAGAUAAAAAUCCUCAUGCAUCGUCCUUUAUUAAUGGUCGCUGUCUGACUUCCAAUUUGCUCCAAGAAUAAGGCCAAGAUGCUUGUCAUAGUAACACAUGACAUCCCAAUGCCCUCUAUCUUCAUAUUCUUUAGAUCAUUGAAUGAUCUGACAUGUCAAAGAGUAUUUUUUAUUACGUUCUUCGUAAAGGAAGCGGCAUAAUCAUUUUCAGUGCAAACAGAGUGGUGGAGCAAGUAAGUCUUCAUCAAUUCACGCGAA